rnacentral:lncRNA from 1 species
CCGCGCUUUCUUUUAAAAGUAUAAGCUCUUUUCCUUUUUCGUUUUGUUUUCUUGAUAGCGAUGCGGCAUCGAGAGACUGAGUGUGAGCCGAAAGCAGAGGUCAAUGACCACUUGUUUUGUGCGUCUAGUUCCCAUUGGUUAUGCAGGAGUUUCGGGCGCCUGAGGACGAGGAAGAGAGGGAGGGAAGAUGAAAAAGAGCAAGAGAACACCUCAAAAGAAGGACUCCUUUAAUGGUCACAUGGUGACUUUCUUCAAGGGACAACUCCUAUAAUGGACACUUAGGUGACUUUUGUGGUUAUACAUCUCCUGGGUGAGCUCAUCAGUGUUCUUUUCUUUCCAUUUGUCCCUUGUUUUUUAACUUUCUGGUGAGGACACUUCUCACCCCUAAGUGAUGCUGCAGGCUGGCCUCUUGAAUCCAGUGAGACCCACUGCCCCCCUUCUUGAGUGCUCGAGUGUGUGUAGGCG